UGAAGAAGCUUUUUCGUUCUUGGCUAAGAUCUCGAUUUUCCGGAGUUUGAGUUAAUCUCAGGUAAUGAUUCUUUAGAGAUGAGUUCGUGCCUAGGUAAAUUUCAUUUGUGCAAAGUUUAGGAGCGAGUCCUUUUGAUUUGAGUUAGAUUUUGUAACACCCCAGGUGUUUGUCACUUGCUAAGUACUAGAUUUGAGCUCAAACAUGACAAGUUCAAUGGUAAUAAAAAGGUCUAAGUCAAUCUAUGAAAGUAAACCCCAACUUGGACUUGGUGGAUGCAACCUUGCUUGCAUAUAUGCCUUUUUAAAAGGUAUGCUUUGAUGAUGCUAAUGGAACCUUUUUCAUAUGUCUUAUAUCCAUCCCAAUCUAUGUUGGUCUCUGGAAAAGUUUGGUGAAGUUUGGAAUCAAGAAGUCACAUGAAAUGAUAAGUUAUAUCCUUGUUGGAAUGACUCUAUUAAGGAAAUAGAAUCAUGGGUCACCAACCAAACCUUGCAAACUUGCUCAUAUGACUCUAGAUGAAUUAUACAACAAAAGUUAAGAAGGAUUCAUGUUGAGCUUAUGUCAAGAAAAUGCUUCAAUUGGCCUAAAACCCUAUUUGGAGCUUUAUGAGGUUACUGCUUUGACCCAAGUGAAAGAUUGACUUCUGUUGUAGUUAUGAGGUUUGACCCUAAAUGAAAGUUGAACUUUUGCUUCUGUAGAAGAAACUUUAUUCACGGGUCAAGAACAAAAUCAGCCUGCAAAUAGUUCAAACAGAGGCUCCAAGUUCGAAUCAGCUGCUGCUUUUUAGCCCUGAGAAAUAAUUCUCCCUGGAAGUACAGCAGUGAGUUAGAUCUUUCGUGACGUUUUAUUAUUCAAAUUCAUAUGGUAACUCAAUUAGGUUCCUUAAUAUGAGUUGGAUUACUCUUCUUGAUGAAAGCAAUGGAUCAAGUAUCAUUAAAUUUGGAGUUCAUUUGGAUAUCUAAAAGUAGCUCCCAAAAUAGCAAAAAGUUAUUUUUUCGCUAAAUGGACAUCGACCGGUUGACAUGCCGCGUUCUCGUGUUUUUGUUAAGAAACUAAAGUUGGUCCAAGAAUAAAAGUUGUGGAUAAUUGUUUGGAGAAGAUCAUUCAAAAAGUUGCAUCAAGUUUGACAUGGUUUGGACCAUUAAUUCUUGGUUUUGCUAAUCACCGUCAAUACGUUGACACUCGUGAAUUGGCAUCUAAUUAUCUUUUAAUCUGUUGGUCUAAUAACCUUGGUCUCUUAAUCAAAGUUGUAGUACACGGCGGUAUGAGCAAACCUUAUUUUUGGCUCAUCUUCAAAUUCGGCCCGGAAAAAGCCCAAAAUCGCCUCCCACCUUGGCUACUCCGACGCGCGCCACGUGCUCGGCGAAAUGCGUCAAAGGGAAACGCGUGUCCUGGACGUGUCCACCAUCCACAGCGCCCCCAGCUCCAUUGAUGAACCCCUGCUGCCCCUCUCGCGGUCUGUGAAGCCAGAUAGCGCUCCCCACCCUUGGCGGGCCGGUCGGUCGAAGACGGUGGUGACACGUAUCGAGUGGCGGGAAAGCGUAUGGAGUACGCUACUCGUGGCGGGUUUCACGGGCCUCAAAACCCGGGCGGAGGUUCCAAGGCGGAACGGACGACACGUGGCAGCAUCGGUGAGAUCGCUUCGAAGCGAGGCUACCGGUGAGGAGGAGCGGUGGCCGUCGGAUUUAGGUCAUGUCGAGUUGGACUAGAAUGUCCCUAGGGCUUGCUAGUUCGCUCAAAAAUAUCUAGGGGCAUCUGGGGAAUAUGUAAUAUGCCUGAUAAAUAAGCCGGGAGAGUCCCCCAACUCUUUCUAACCCUCUCCACCUACUGCUCUCUCUCUCCCGUAGUUUUCUCUCUAGGUUUAACUCUUUUCUUUUUUGAGUUCUAGAGAUUCAUGAACUGGUAAAAUUUGUAGUAUUUUUGUUGUGUUUUGGAAUGGGAAUGGAGGCCCAAAUCCUCCUUUUCUCCUCUGGGAUUCAUAAAUUAAGCCUGUGAUUUUCGUUGUUGUCUGUGUCCUGUUUUUCGUCCUGAAGAAGCUUUUUCGUUCUUAGCUAAGAUCUCGAUUUUCCGGAGUUUGAGUUAAUCUCAGGUAAUGAUUCUUUAGAGAUGAGUUCGUGCCUAGGUAAAUUUCAUUUGUGCAAAGUUUAGGAGCGAGUCCUUUUGAUUUGAGUUGGAUUUUGUAACACCCCAGGUGUUUGUCACUUGCUAAGUACUAGAUUUGAGCUCAAACAUGACAAGUUCAAUGGUAAUAAAAAGGUCUAAGUCAAUCUAUGAAAGUAAACCCCAACUUGGACUUGGUGGAUGCAACCUUGCUUGCAUAUAUGCCUUUUUAAAAGGUAUGCUUUGAUGAUGCUAAUGGAACCUUUUUCAUAUGUCUUAUAUCCAUCCCAAUCUAUGUUGGUCUCUGGAAAAGUUUGGUGAAGUUUGGAAUCAAGAAGUCACAUGAAAUGAUAAGUUAUAUCCUUGUUGGAAUGACUCUAUUAAGGAAAUAGAAUCAUGGGUCACCAACCAAACCUUGCAAACUUGCUCAUAUGACUCUAGAUGAAUUAUACAACAAAAGUUAAGAAGGGUUCAUGUUGAGCUUAUGUCAAGAAAAUGCUUCAAUUGGCCUAAAACCCUAUUUGGAGCUUUAUGAGGUUACUGCUUUGACCCAAGUGAAAAUUGACUUCUGUUAUAGUUAUGAGGUUUGACCCUAAAUGAAAGUUGAACUUUUGCUUCUGUAGAAGAAACUUUAUUCAAGGGUCAAGAACCAAAUCAGCCUGCAAAUAGUACAAACAGAGGCUCCAAGUUCGAAUCAGCUGCUGCUUUUUAGCCCUGAGAAAUAAUUCUAAGUCCCUGGAAGUACAGCAGUGAGUUAGAUCUUUCGUGACGUUUUAUUAUCCAAAUUCAUAUGGUAACUCAAUUAGGUUCCUUAAUAUGAGUUGGAUUACUCUUCUUGAUGAAAGCAAUGGAUCAAGUAUUAUUAAAUUUGGAGUUCAUUUGGAUAUCUAAAAGUAGCUCCCAAAAUAGCAAAAAGUUAUUUUAUCGCUAAAUGGACAUCGACCGGUUGACAUGCCGCGUUCUCGUGUUUUUGUUAAGAAACUAAAGUUGGUCCAAGAAUAAAAGUUGUGGAUAAUUGUUUGGAGAAGAUCAUUCAAAAAGUUGCAUCAAGUUUGACAUGGUUUGGACCAUUAAUUCUUGGUUUUGCUAAUCACCGUCAAUACGUUGACACUCGUGAAUUGGCAUCUAAUUAUCUUUUAAUCUGUUGGUCUAAUAACCUUGGUCUCUUAAUCAAAGUUGUAGUACACGGCGGUAUGAGCAAACCUUAUUUUUGGCCCAUCUUCAAAUUCGGCCCGGAAAAAGCCCAAAAUCGCCUCCCACCUUGGCUACUCCGACGCGCGCCACAUGCUCGGCGAAAUGCGUCAAAGGGAAACGCGUGUCCUGGACGUGUCCACCAUCCACAGCGCCCCCAGCUCCAUUGAUGAACCCCUGCUGCCCCUCUCGCGGUCUGUGAAGCCAGAUAGCGCUCCCCACCCUUGGCGGGCCGGUCGGUCACCCUUCUGUUGUGGACGCCCAGCUCCCUCAUCCGCUCCCUUGCGUCUCUCCUCGUUUAGUGCCGCUGUCCGCCAUGGACAGGAAGCGUAGCUUCAUGGCCAGGCCGUUCUGAGAGUGGUGUGGAGGAUGCGGGCAAGCCUCCUGGUGCUUCCCCACCCCUCCAUCGUCGCCGACGAUGCCUCAGCCGGCCGGAGCAGAAACCUCCGGCGAGGGCGUGGUUGUCUGUUUUUUGGCGACUAGGGACCUCGGGUUAGAAUAAGAAACAACUCAGGGUUCCAGAUGCGAAGCCAAGACUCAUAUGAAUAGCGUUACUGGUCUGUGGCGCGAUUCUUGGAAAAGCUAGGGUUCCCGGUGCAAGAUCUGUUUUCCUUUUCUUUUGUUUUUUUUUGCAGAUUUUAUAGAUGAACUUUGGAAAUGCAUAGAAAUUCGUAGAAAAGUCGUAUAAUAGCAAUUGUGGACUUUUCGGAAUCCAUAUGAAAUUCUCUAUGCAAUAGAUCUAUAAUCCAGCAUGAUUUAGUUUGAAGUUUUAGUCGUAAAAAUAGAUUUAUGCAGUUCGGUUUUAAUUGCUUGUUAUAUUUGUCUUUUUCAUAACUGCUGUGUUAUGGCUCAAAGAAAUGUGGAAAUAUUGUGACAUGCUUUCCAUAUGAUAAUUGAUGUCUGGUAAUUGUUUCAUGAAUUUAGGAAUGUUAUAUUAAGAGUUAUAAAAAUAACAAAUGCCAUGUGUUCCUUUGCUCCUAUUCUGAGUGGAUCUUCAUGUUUGUAUUGUUUGGCUCAGUUAAGUUGCGAAUCAUGCCUUAAUGAAAAUAUAUAAGUUAUAUUACUUUUCAUAAGCUUUCCAGAAAGGUAAAUAGCACAAUUUUUGGUUAAGCACAUGUUUAGUUAUAGUGGUUUAAAUUACUGUUCCAGUUUCUGUCUAAACCCAGAUAGGAUUGCAUUGUUUGUAAUGUAAGACCUUGUUAGUGGUCGAUUUAGCUCUAGAUGUUUAUAACAAAGUUGUUUACAAUUUCGUAAGCUUUCUAUAAAGUAUACAAUCAUAAAUUUUGGAUAUGUGAACCUCAAGUUAUAGCUGUUUAAUGUGGCACGACAGAUUCUGUCCAUGUUUUAGACAGAGAUGUCUUUAUGUGGUUAAUUGACCUUGUUAACUGUGGAUUCAUAUUUGUAUGAUAAUAAGAAAGUUGUAGGUAACUUUAUGAGAUUUCCAAAGAGAUAAGAAUCAUAUUUGCUGGAGUUCUAUAACUCCAGUUAUGCUUCCUUGAAUUGCCUAUCAGUUUUAAUUGUACUUCUACUGUUUGGCAGCAUGAGCAGUUUUAUUUAUGCAAUUAAUUCUAUGAUAUAAAUUAUGUUUGCUGUGAAACUUGUAUAUAGAAAAGAUGUAGAAACUUCACUAGUUUAUAUUGUGGUAAAGUUUCAUAUCAUUUGGCUAAGUGGUUUGUGAGUUACAGUAGUAUGAAUUUCAUCCUUUAAAAUGCUUGUUCUAUGGAAAUUCCUGGACCAGAUUAUAUGGUCAUGCAUGUUUGACUUGGUUAACUUGUUAAUCAUGCUAAUAUGAUUAAAGAUGAAUUGUAGAUAAUUUUAUAAUCUUUUCAGAAUGUCCUAUUUUAUAGUUUUUGGAGUUGUGUAACUCCAGUUAUGAUUUAUUUACUGAGUUGCUGCAUAUAUGUCCAGAAUUGCUGAAAUACAUGAAUGUUUAAUUGCUUUACUUGGUGUGUGCUAACUAUGAUACAUGUCUUUAGCGGUGAUUAAGUAAUACACUUGUAAACUUGUGAAACUUGUGUCAUGAUUGAUAUGUUUGCUCUAUAUAAUUGGUUGUGUGAUGUUAGCUAAAUAACUUUAGAUGCCUGUGUCUUGCAUACUUUUAUGUGAUGCAUGUUGUGUUAUUAUUCUUUAUAUUCAUGCAUUUGCAUCUUGCAUCUCAUCUAGGUGCGCUAGAUGAAUCACGUGAAGGUUUUGGUGUGGGACCAAACCCGAAGAUGGUGUUGGGUGGACCCAUCCCGAAGGUGGAAGGACUAAGCAAGUGUUGUGAUCUUAGAUGUCACCAAGACGGAGCAACUAACUGAACUGACUCAGUGAUGAUCCCAGGCAAGCCCCGGAGCAUUAUAAGUCUCCCACUACUUUUGAAUGCAAUUGAGAAUAUAUGUUAUAUAUGUAUUGUUGCAUUAAGUAUAGGAGUUGGGUGAAACCCUUGCUGCAUAUAACACUCCUUGUCUAGCAAAUAUACCUAUAACAUUCAGGAUCGAAUCUAAAUGCUUAGCUAUGCUUAGACCGGUAGAAGCCAGGUGAUGUCCCGUCACCUGAGCGAGAUAGGUGGACACCUGAAAAGCUUGGCUAUAUAUGCUAUCAUGGAAAUAACCAAGUGAUGAGGAUGAAUAAUUGGAGACCGGCCGGGACGAUGGUAGAGAAGUAACAAGACAUGGAGGUCUUGGGUGCCUAUCUAUCCCCGCCUGUGUCGAUUAAGGACCGAUCGUUGACGGCACUCUUGUCAUGUUGAACGCAUGCCCCACACUUAGUUGUAAGGAUAAGUCGUUUCGACCGCGAAGCCUAAGCACUAUCCGGGCCGGGAAUCGGCCCGAUGUACGCGCUGUAUUGGUGAUGGUUGAGGAGAACGACGAGGGCGCGGCGCGCAACCUUGGUAUACCUUGGAUACCUCGGUCGCUGGAACGGUCCUCGGGUACGGGCGGUGCCUGUCGAACCCACGAAUUGGUCCUGGAUAGUGCAAUACGGUGAUCUGUAGCUCACUUGAUCAGUGAGUGUGGUUUGUGUGGGGAAUAAACUCGCCAGCUGGUCAGAAAUCGAUUCGAAUCGCCAUCGCUCCUGGAUAGUGAGCACUUGACUUGAGCCCCGUCAUCGUAGUAAUAUUUAUGGAACACGUGGAUGGUUAUGGUAUAAUGAUGAUGUUGGAAAUGCCACAUCGAAUAUGGAUACUACUAUUGUAUCUUAAUCAAGUGAUUGCUCUAGUACAGGUGCUAAUAUAGAUGACAGGUAAUGAUUAUUAACUUGAGCUAAAUACCUGAAAAAUUACUUACCUGUAACUUAAGCUUUUUAUGCAAAGAGUAUUGUCAAGCUAGCUCCACCAAUAAAGCCUUGCAUACUCCUUGGUGUCAUAUUAUUUCUGGUUCAUGACGGGUAAGUCUAGCUGAGUAUCUUCUCGUACUCAGGGUUUAUUCCCACUUGUUGCAGGUUGUGAUGUAUCAUGCCUACUGCAAGAGUUGGAUGACUCCUACCAUAAUAGAGGAGUAAGAUCAUGGGCAUGAUCCUUCUUAGUUACCUCUUCUAUGUUGCUUUUGUUGGAAUUGACCUGGAUACUGGCAUGUAUUUGAAAUGAGGGCAAUAUUAGUUUUAAAUUACUUUGCUUCCGCAACUUUUCAACUCAACUUGUAAUAACUAUAUUGAACUCCGAUGUAUGUCGAACUAUUUGUGAAAUGGAUGUAACAUGUGACUUGUUAUGUUGAAUCACUACGAUCUUGGCUUGUAAGAUGGUUGGUUUGAAAUCCCUCGUGAUUUCACGGACUACCGGGUUUAUGAGAGUUCGAUUAUGUUAAAACAACUGCUUUGGCGGGAGUUUUUCAUAGUUGAUCUCUUGUAAAUCGGGCGGUUCUGUUAUAGAUUUCAUCGAUUGUGUGGAUGCUGCUGUUUUUGUUUAUUCUUCUGUUUGUGCAUCUGUUCUACUGCUCGUGAUUUGGUAGACUCAUGGGAUCAGACAGCAACGCUACCAAUGCCGAGCGCUCAACGCCGUGCGUGCUCGAUUGAGCAGCGUUGCCUCAGUUCCAGGCAGUCCGUCUGCACGGGGAAUAGGCCCGUCGGGGCCGGGGCUCGUCCGUGGCUCCAGGCUUGUGAGCACGAGCAGACCCGUGCUACUCCCAAGUUCUUGCAGGUGUUCUUGUUUUGAUCAGGUUCGAUCUCCUCUCUGCAGGCGUGAACAAACUUGUCCCAGCGCUUCUCUCUGUGUCUGCUUGAUUCUUGUGCUCGAGUCUGUGACUCCGUCGAUCUCCAGAAGCAGGCCAGGUGAGCGCUCAUCUGUGCAGGGCAUGAUUUCAGCUUUGAGUUUAAGCGGUGAAGAUCUCCAGUGCAAACCUUGGAC
rnacentral:lncRNA from 1 species